rnacentral:guide_RNA from 1 species
AAUAAAACACAAAAAUCAAGUGAACUAUGUAGAAGAUUAUGAUAUAAU